rnacentral:tRNA from 1 species
GAGUCCGUAGCUCAGCUGGUUAGAGCGCAUGUCUGAUACACAUGAGGUCAGUAGUUCAAGUCUACUCGGACUCACCA